rnacentral:rRNA from 1 species
UACGUAGGGGUGCAAGCGUUUAAUCGGAAUAGCUGGGCGUAAAGCGUGCGCAGGCGGCUUUGCAAGACAGAUGUGAAAUCCCCGGGCUUAACCUGGGAACUGCAUUUGUGACUGCAUAGCUAGAGUACGGUAGAGGGGGAUGGAAUUCCGCGUGUAGCAGUGAAAUUCGUAGAUAUCAGGUGGAACACCAGUGGCGAAGGCGGCUUUCUGGACGGUAACUGGACGCUGAGACGCGAAAGCGUGGGGAGCAAACAGG